UUGCUAUUAACUUAAAAGAGAAAACGUACAUAAAGACUACAGCCCAGCCAGGCAUUUGUUUCUUGGGUCUAGCCCAUUAGUUAAAGACAACAAAAAGAAAUCCUUUUAGGAGGCCCAUUUUAAGAAACCAGUCGAGAAAGAGGGGAAUUGUCGAUACAUCUUCGUUAUGAGUCAUGCAGAGAUUCGGCGAGACCAGCUGAGAGAGAUGAAGUGCGAACCUGAGCCCGGAAUGCUGAAAGAGGGAGUUCUUCAUGGUGAAGACAUCCAAAUAUUGAAGAGCGCUGAUGAGAGAGGUGGUGAGGAUAAUCUGAUGGAGGCAAUUUUUGUUCUGAUGGUAGAGAUGACCAGAGAAGAGAUUGAGUCCGGUGAUCGGAAUGUAUUGCGGUGGAGGCGGUUGUUUCUCUCAGUCCAGAUGAGGUAGAUCACACAUUGCCAAGUGAGGAGACAGAGUAGCUUAUUAGGGCGAGGUCGAUUCAGUUGCUGGAGUUCAGAGAUAGUUUGAUUCCAGGUGCGAGACGGAGCUAGGUUGCAUCGGGCUGACAUUCUUGACCAGACAGACCAGGCAAAAGGGCAUUCAAAGAAGAUAUGGUCUCUAGAUUCAGCCGGGGCAUUACAUAGCAGACAAUUCGGGGAAGUUGGUAGUCCCCAGUUUAUGAGACGAUCUCUGGUGGGACAUCUAUCUUUGAUGAACAGCCAUGUUAAGAAACAAUGUUUAGGAAUACCCCAUGAGAUCCAUACCAAUUUGCACCAAGGAACCAGAGGAUUAUGAUGCUUUAGUUCUGUAUACACUCGACCGGUAGAGUAAGUCUUCGUUAUCUUAUCAUUCAUAACCCAUUCCACAUAGUCAUCUCCUUCUCUAAGAUUUAUAGUUGAUAGAAAGGCAUAGAGGGUAACCUGGUUGUCUGAACGAGCAGGGGGGAGCCUCCAAAUUCCGUGGUGAUUGAGGUCAGAGAUAGUAGCCGUCUUUGGAAUACCCAUUCGCGCUGCAGGAGCGAGGUUCAGAUAGACAGACAGGUUGCCAAAGGGACUCCAGUUAUCACUCCAAAACCGACAGGUAGCACCAUCU
rnacentral:lncRNA from 1 species